AACUGUAUUGCGUAGGCUACCCUACCCUAAAACAUACGUUCUCCCUUCUUUUCUCCGGCCAGAUCUGGAGGCAGCAAGUGCGGCGGCCGACUCCCGGGCUAGUGCCGUGAGGCCUGCGCGACCUCAAGCGCCUCCGCAGCCUGGCGGCGAGGCUGGCCGCAACCUCGAGCACUGCUGUAGACAGGCCGCGACCUCCCUCCCUGGCUGUGGGCUCAGCCCGGCCGUGGUUCUUGGUCUGAUUUCGGCGAAGGGGGCGGUGGAGACCAGGCUUCUGCUUCAGGAUUCAGAAGCGGGGAUGUUGGUGCUCGCGGUUCUAGGGUUGGAUUUAAUGGAGGCGGUGUCGUCUGCUGCAGAGGGAAGGGAAAUUACACCAAUGCUUGCCUGACAUUGCAUCAGCCCUGAGCUUCGCACCUCGUCCAUGGCAUCACUGAUGUAUCAAUUGCGUGAGAAUUGAUAAUUGUUCCCCCACUAUCCUUCCUCUUCCUUCUAGAGAGGACAGAGAAGACUCCAGGGCAGAAAACUUGGGAAAUGACCACUCCAUUGCCAUUGAAUGAGGACGGUAGCUCAGUUUUUGCAGUUGUUGGUUCAAACCCUGAAGUCCAUUACAUUUAUGUCUGUAUCAAGGGUGAAUGCUGACGAGCAAAUGAAAGUACAAACAGAUUCUAGAGGUAAAAGAUCCCAUGAUUAUGGACCUUGUACUACCUACGACACUGCAGUGAAGGAAAGAAUCAAUUUAUUCCAUUUCUGUUCAAGUUGUGGCAGUUGGUCAAACUCUUCCCUGAAAGAACUUGAACUGGAUUUUCAAGUUCAUCCUCGUGAUGAAGUUUGUUGUGGCUGAGAUAAUCAAGGAAGACUUAUGGCCUAAUCCUUUGAAACUUCAACAAUGAAAUUGAUGAAGAUGAUUUUGAUGGUGAGGAUGAUGAAGAGGUAUGCUACUUCCAAUGUAACACAUUUACAUAGAGUUUGGUAUACUACUGCUAUCUCAGAAAGUGAAUGCAGAUUCCUUUCCUUUUUCUCCUUUUCCUAAACUUGGUCUCAUCAGGGUUUACUUGUGUUACUUGUUCGUUAACUCGUGGAAAAUGAUGAGUACUAUUAUUUUCCUUGGUAAUUGUGAGUCAUAGUAUGUUGCUAAUAUUAA